UAGAGGAAUAUUGGUCAAUGGCCGGAAGGCUGAACCAGCCAAGCCGCGUGAAGGACGAAGGUGCCAAGCAUUGUAAACUUCUUUUGUCAAGGGACAAAAUCAGGCUCGAGAGCCUGACCGAGGGUACUUGAAGAAAAAGCAUCGGCUAACUCCGUGCC
rnacentral:rRNA from 1 species